GAUGAACGCUGGCGGCGUGCUUAACACAUGCAAGUCGAACGAAGCACUUUAUUUGAUUUCCUUCGGGACUGAUUAUUUUGUGACUGAGUGGCGGACGGGUGAGUAACGCGUGGGUAACCUGCCUUGUACAGGGGGAUAACAGUUGGAAACGGCUGCUAAUACCGCAUAAGCGCACGGCAUCGCAUGAUGCAGUGUGAAAAACUCCGGUGGUAUAAGAUGGACCCGCGUUGGAUUAGCUAGUUGGUGAGGUAACGGCCCACCAAGGCGACGAUCCAUAGCCGAGCUGAGAGGGUGACCGGCCACAUUGGGAGUGAGACACGGCCCAAACUCCUACGGGAGGCAGCAGUGGGGAAUAUUGCACAAUGGGCGAAAGCCUGAUGCAGCGACGCCGCGUGAGCGAAGAAGUAUUGCGGUAUGUAAAGCGCUAUCAGCAGGGAAGAUAAUGACGGUACCUGACUAAGAAGCACCGGCUAAAUACGUG
rnacentral:rRNA from 1 species